rnacentral:rRNA from 1 species
UACGUAGGGGGCAAGCGUUAUCCGGAUUUACUGGGUGUAAAGGGAGCGUAGACGGCGAUGCAAGUCUGAAGUGAAAGCCCGGGGCUCAACCCCGGGACUGCUUUGGAAACUGUAUGGCUGGAGUGCUGGAGAGGCAAGCGGAAUUCCUAGUGUAGCGGUGAAAUGCGUUGAUAUUAGGAAGAACACCAGUGGCGAAGGCGGCUUGCUGGACAGUAACUGACGUUGAGGCUCGAAAGCGUGGGGAGCAAACAGG